CAGCAGCCGCGGUAAUACGUGGGGUGCAAGCGUUAAUCGGAAUUACUGGGCGUAAAGCGUGCGCAGGAGGUUAUAUAAGUCAGAUGUGAAAUCCCCGGGCUCAACCUGGGAACUGCAUUUGAGACUGUAUGGCUAGAGUGUGUCAGAGGGGGGUAGAAUUCCACGUGUAGCAGUGAAAUGCGUAGAUAUGUGGAGGAAUACCGAUGGCGAAGGCAGCCCCCUGGGAUAACACUGACGCUCAUGCACGAAAGCGUGGGGAGCAAACAGGAUUAGAUACCCCAGUAGUCCCUGUCUCUUAUAC
rnacentral:rRNA from 1 species